CCUACGGGAGGCAGCAGUGGGGAAUAUUGGGCAAUGGGCGCAAGCCUGACCCAGCAACGCCGCGUGCAUGAAGAAGGCUUUCGGGUUGUAAACUUCUUUUGUCAGGGACGAAGCAAGUGACGGUACCUGACGAAUAAGCCACGGCUAACUACGUGCCAUCAGCCGCAGUAAUACGUCGGUGGCAAGCUAUAUCCGCAUUGACUGGGUGUAAAGGGCGUGUAGGCGGGGAGGCAAGUCAGAUGUGAAACCCACGGGCUCAACCUGUGGCCUGAAUUUGAAACUGUUUUUCUUGAGUGCUGGAGAGGCGAUCGGAAUUCCGUGUGUAGCGGUUAAAGGCGUAGAUAUACGGCGGAACACCAGUGGCGAAGGCGGAUUGCUGGACAGUAACUGACGCUGAGGCGCGAAAGCGUGGGGAGCAAACAGGAUUAGAUACCCCAGUAGUC
rnacentral:rRNA from 1 species